rnacentral:misc_RNA from 1 species
GGAAGGAUCAUUAACACUUAUUAUUAUCCAAUAUCAAAAAUAAAACCAAACGGUCACUUAUCUCCUCCCUAUUUCGACUCCCGGAGACGGGGCGAUUAGGCUAAACUCUAUUUUUUUAAAUUUUUUAACCCCAUUCUUAUUUAUAUUCUUCUUUUUUUGUCGAAAGACAAAUAAUAAAAUAUAAACAAACCAACUCUUCGAUUGUUUGGCUUUUAACUAGCUUUUUCAUUCGAACUAAACUAAAAUAUACAUUCGAUAUAUUUUUAUUUUACGAAAUAAUCUAUAUUUAUAAGAACAACUCUUAGCAAUGGAUAUCUUGGUUCUCGCAACGAUGAAGAACGCAGCGAAAUGCGAUAUGUAAUGCGAAUUGCAGAAUUCAGUGAAUCAUCAAAUCUUUGAACGCAAAUUGCGCUCUCGGGAUAGACCUGGGAGCACGCCCCUUUGAGUAUCGGUUCUAACACAACUCAACUUCCAUUGUUUGAUUAUAAUGGCAAGCUUGGAGAAUGAGUCGUCUCGACAAAGCACAACUGUUGAGUCACUUGAAAUAUAGAGAGUGCAGAUCUCCUAGUUGCCAUCCGAAAGGAUUAGUUCUAGUGCAUAACAAGCAAAACAUAACCAUAAGAACAAAAAACUAGUUGACGUGGAUAAUUUCACCUUUACGGUGUAUCUUUUUUAAAACGUCAAUCAAAGCUAAGUUUUUUUUGUUUGCCUAAAAGCCUUGAAUGAAACAACUUGUGAUUGAGCUUCACGUAACCAUUUUUUGCGCAAGCAAAAAAAUCAUUCUUUUUGAAUUUAGAUCUCAGAUGGAGCGAGAAUACCCCCUGAAUUUAAGCAUAUUAAUAAGGGGAGGAAAAGAAACUAACAAGGAUUCUCUUAGUAACGGCGAGUGAAGCGAGAAGAGCUCAAACUGAAAAUCGGGGACCCAAGCGGGCCUCUGAAUUGUUUGCUAGAGACGUGUUGUCAGCAUGUGACCUAGAUUGAAAUCUCUUGAAACAGGGUAUCAUAGAGGGUGAGAAUCCCGUCUGCAAUCUGGAGUUCGCUGCGUACGACGCAUGUUCAUAGAGUCGAGUUGUUUGGGAUUGCAGCUCUAAUUGGGUGGUAAGUUUCAUCUAAAGCUAAAUAUUGGCGAGAGACCGAUAGCGAACAAGUACCGUGAGGGAAAGAUGAAAAGAACUUUGAAAAGAGAGUUAAAAAGUACUUGAAAUUGUUAAGAGGGAAGCGCUGAAAUUCAGUCAUUUGCUCUAGUUUAUUUUGCCAUUUGCUGGUGAAGAAUAGGGCAGACAAGUGUGCAAGCCUUGUUUGUUUUAUUGGACAUUAUGUGGGUGGUUUCUGUAAGCUAGGGUGAGUCAGAAUCUUUUCGAUUCGCGUGAGAAAGUUAUGAGGAAGGUAGGGUAUAGCAAUAUACCUGUUAUAGCCUUGUAGCCCUAACGUGGAUUUGGAUUGAGGAAAUGUGAUAUAAUGCGCCGCAGGCUUGGUAGCUUAUUUCUAUCGAUUAGUAGAGGUCAAGAUAACAAUGUUAUGUAGCUUCUACUAGUUGAUACUGGGUAAGACUACUCUAUGCAUUAUCGCGAUUCUGACGAAAUGGAUUUCAUCGACCCGUCUUGAAACACGGACCAAGGAGUCUAACAUAUAUGCGAGUAUUUGGGUGUUCAAACGCCUCGUGCGUAAUGAAAGUAAAGGUUAGCUUGCUAACUGUGGUAGGAAUCGUCUUCGGGCGAGGCACUAUCGACCGAUCAUCACUUGUGAAAGAUUUGAAUAAGAGCAUAUCUGUUGGGACCCGAAAGAUGGUGAUCUAUGCCUGAACAGGGUGAAGCCAGGGGAAACUCUGGUGGAGGCUCGUAGCGAUACUGACGUGCAAAUCGUUCGUCUGAUUUGGGUAUAGGGGCGAAAGACUAAUCGAACCAUUUAGUAGCUGGUUCCCUC